rnacentral:rRNA from 1 species
GACGAACGCUGGCGGCGUGCCUAAUACAUGCAAGUCGAGCGAAUGACGAGAAGCUUGCUUCUCUGAUUUAGCGGCGGACGGGUGAGUAACACGUGGGCAACCUGCCCUACAGAUUGGGAUAACUCAGGGAAACCUGGGCUAAUACCGGAUAAUCCUUCGAAUCACAUGUUUUGAAGUUGAAAGGCGCUUCGGCGUCACUGUAGGAUGGGCCCGCGGUGCAUUAGCUAGUUGGUGGGGUAACGGCCUACCAAGGCAACGAUGCAUAGCCGACCUGAGAGGGUGCUCGACCACAUGGGGACUGAGACACGGCCCAAACUCCUACGGGAGGCAGCAGUAGGGAAUAUUCCACAAUGGACGAAAGUCUGAUGGAGCAACGCCGCGUGAGUGAUGAAGGUUUUCGGAUCGUAAAACUCUGUUCUAAGGGAAGAACAAGUACAUUAGGAAAUGAACGAACCUUGACGGUACCUUAUUAGAAAGCCACGGCUAACUACGUGCCAGCAGCCGCCGUAA